UCCUUUGAUAGUCUUGAGGGUAGAAAGUAUUGCUUGGUGAUUGUGGAUGACUAUUCAAGAUACACUUGGGUAUUGAACAUAUAAAUCACGCUAGGCAACCAAUCCUCUCCGUCCUCGAGCCCCACGCCACUCUUCAUCCCUCUCCACGCUGUCCCACCUCCCCUACUCCUCCUCACGGCCUCUCGCGCCGCUGCCUUCUCUCCUGGGCCUCCCCGACGCUCGAGGUGCAGCAAAGGGGACGCCACUAUGUUCUCAAUCCAGCUAGAUCGGGAUCGGGCGCAGGUCGCCGGCAUCCGACGCCCCGCGCCGUGAUUUGGGAUCAGGCGCCGAUCUCCAUAAGGAGAUUAGGAGCAGCUGCUGCAGGGAGGGUAGGCAGCAGAGGAGCACGUCCAGGUCGAGCCCCCACCCCGGCGGGUGCCUGCAGAGGAGGAGAGGCCGAGGAUGGCUCCCAGUACAUGGAGGAGACGCCCAACACAGGUAGGGGAGGAGGCUGUCCCCGGAGAGGCAACAUGGUGGUUGCACCGGUGCCUCUCCCAUCUAUGCAUCUACCGAGGAUGGAUGGCACCAUGUGGGUCAGGAGGCCGUCAUCACCCUUGUAGGCAUGAUUCAUCGCCUCUGUCGCCCCCACAUGACACGACUCAUUGGUCACUGUUGGGCUACUGCCGUAGUCCUGCUACUUGAUGGAGUCUUCCUCCUUUGGCUACGUCUUCCUUCUCUGGCAACGCCUCUCUCGACCCCAGAGGUUCAUGGUUUUACAUUCAAAAAUAAAUAUGCACCUAAGAGAAGCUAGAGGAGUAUUGUUAAUAUCUGGAAUCUAAUUUAAUUGUGGUUCUAUACUGCUGUCAUAACUAAGGAUUGAUUGGUAUAGAAAAUAUAUGUGACCCUCUGUCCUCAGGUCCUUCACCAUCCACAAAUAAUCAGGUUCGACUACCUGCUUGGUCAGUUGUCUCUCUGUAGUAAACAAAUUUUGCAAUUGAACACGCUAAUUUUACAACUAAUAGUCCAUCAACUUUAAUCAUGUGCAUUUAGAAACUGCACAAUACCCCACCGUUGGUCGAGGUCCCUUAUAGGACAAUACUUGAUUUUUUUUCCUAAACAAUCUGGGGCUACCACAAGCUAAGUACCAUCGCAGGAUAUGUGAGGGACAAACAACAGCAAGGAGAGCAUUGUUUGCCACAAGACGCACCAACAACCACACCAUUGAGGUAAGCAACUGAGGACAUGAGAAGGGCCUUCACACCGAUCUCAGAAAAACAAACCUUUUGAAGCCAAUGAAGAAGCUACCAACCAUCUUUUGUUCCCAAACAAUCUUUUCUUCUCCCCACCUUAGCGUGUUCUAUGUUUCAUUGAUGUUCCUGUAACAAAACAGAGUUGGUAUCAGACAUGUAUUUCCUAUAUUUAUGAUGAUCUUCCUUAUGUAUAUAAAAUUAUAUUCUAUAUAGGUCCUCAAUCAAAUGUUAUAUAGGAGAAAUGCUAUAAAGACAGGCAUGUUUUCCCAAAUAACUACUGCUCUUAUGCAGGGUGUCCUAGCGCAUGUCGUCUCGGUGGAAUAGCAGGGGCGGCAGGGUCACCACAGCGGGGUGGACAACAAGAGAGGGUGAGGAGGUUGGCAGUGGGUGAGAAGGAGCAGCAAAGUCGGACGUGGCAGGAAGGAGCACUGAGGUCACAGUGGAGGAUAGGCCAGCGAUGGGUGCAAGGAGCUACGUCAGCAAAGCUACUCCGCCGCGAUGGGGUGGAGCUACGAGGCGGGGGAGGCGUCCAAUGACAGAUAUCAAAAAGCAUGUCGUUGCAGCAGGGUAAGAUAAACAAGAAGUGCAUUGAAGGUAGAGAAAGAAUUUCUAAUGUUCUGGAGUACACCAGUUGAUGAGAGCUUUUUGAAACUGUUGUAAGUUUAUAGUUUGAAAUGAUUGAAUUCGUAUUGUUCUCUGUGAGAUUAUUGAUUCAUGUUACAUGACCAUGUUCUGAUUAGCUAUAUUUGAUGCUCUACCCUUUUGACUGAUGGUAGUUUGAAGGAUGAGGUUUGUGCUAAUGCUUUAGCAACUCAUAGUAUGUUGUAGUUAUUUGUUCAGGAAUAUCAGCAAGUUGAACGAUGAAUAGUUUUCUAAUGAAGAAAAAAUUCACGAUAUUGUUGCAUUACUUAUGAAUGCAAUUGAUUUUCAUAACCAGAGGAAGGCAAGUGCUACAUCGUCAAAUAUUGAUACUUCCUUUUCAUGCCAGAUCAGAGUCUUGAUGCCUUGUUGAACUAUAUGUAUACCAUUUUCUAAUAUCUGACAGUUAUAUUGGUUGCACUAGCUUUUGGCAUAUAAUUUGAAGGGUAUUCUUCCCAUAUGAUCAGUUCUGCGGUCUGCACUCAUUUUUACUGCCAUGAAUGGUGUAAGUCUCCCUCUCUCUCACACACACAUGCACUGUGUGCGCGUGUGUCAUUCCCUCUCAGAUUUGAAGGUAAGUUAUUAUUUCGUGUUAUCAAUCAUGGGGAUUUUAUGAUUUCUAUUUAUUUCCGUGGUGGAAAAUUAAAAUCUGACAAGGAGGUCGCUAUCCAUCUACUUCCAUAAUGUCGAACCUCCAACUGAUUUUUCUUUUCCAAUAGGAUAUGCAUUUGAUCCAGUCCAUGUCUUGGCCUCUUUUUGAUGUGUGUUUACCCAUGUUCUUCUUGCAGGUAUUGUUCAAUCCGCCAGUAGCUAGCGGAUGUCGUGUUGUGAUUAAGGUUUGCCACCUUCCUCUACUAAAUCGUUUGUUUUAUGGGCCAUUCUUAGAAUACUAUGUGCUUACUCUGUUUGGCUAAAACAUGGUGAAUCUGAUGCUUACCAACAUUAUUUGUGUUGCACAUUUACAACAAUAACUGUCAGACAAGAGAAUUGCUCACCAAUCCUUAGGUUCAGAAGCAUGUGUACAGAUUUUUUGUUAGGCAUCAACUUUUGUUUGCUUCAAAUUAGAACUUGGGCCUUGCCUUCACCAAGUGUCUCUAAUGCUUACCAAUAUUCAAAAUAUAGAGAUCAACACUGAAGCAUUAGGCAUUGGUAUGUCAACUAAAUUGGUUCAGAAUAUAAUUCUUACCCAACAUUCUUGGACAUAGUGGGCCGUAUUAUUGACCCAGUUGUCGACUUUUGACUAGGUGGAUGUGUCGAGAUAGAAAUGUUUUGCAUUUAUGGUGGCAAAGCUGGUUAGCAUCUAGAUAAAUGUCAAGAGAAAAUGAUAGUAAAAGGUCUUAAGGCUACACCUUGAGAUAUGCAUCCAUUGUGUUUCUUAUACCAGUCCAUUAUAUAAUGUUUUAUUAAUUUCUUUGUAUGGACUACAACUUUUGAAUAGCAUCUCCCAAUUCAUUACCUUCCGGUUUUUGAAUAUCUAUUGACGCCAACAGUCUAGCAUUCUUCAAAAACUUACAAUGAUCUGUAGUUCGUCUAUAAAUUAAAUGGGGAAUAUUUAUUAUUAUUUCAGAACUGUAAGACUUUUUUUCUUGGAAUAUAUGGAUUAACCUAAGACUGGAUAUAAGAUUUUGUUUCUCUUCUUUAAGAAGUGCCAUGUAUUACUUGUUUUCUGAAAUAAUUCCUUUUGUUUUCGCUUUUCACUAGACAUUCAUUGCUAUUUAUGCUUCUUUAGCAAUGGGAUCAGUCGUUUUGUGCUGCCUUUUAGCUAGAUGCUGAUCACUAUUGGUCUCUUCAGUAGUGAGAUGGAGAUCAUAGAUGCAUCCUUGGUUUCCGUCCUCUUGAUAUCGUUGUUAAACUAUUGUUCAAUAUUUUAUCUUUGAGGGGUCUAUUGUUACUUUGGCUUGGCUCUAAUUAUAUGUGAUACGAUUUGUUUCUUUUGCUGGGCCCUAAUUCUUACCUACCUUUUCCCUUGGGUUUAUUCUCUGAUAUGAACAUCUUAUGUAUUCACCUAUUUGUGUAGAAUUGUGAUCUGUUAGCCAGGGUACUUUUGUAAUUAUUACAGUUUUACAAAUAGGAGAAGGGGAUAAGAGUUGUUGAAGAAAAUACACUGUAUUACCACUCUUAAUUAAUUAAGUGAGAAUAUAGAACUGAACAGUAACUCCUUAAGUACAAUUUUGUUUGGGUAAUUUGCAUCGCUAGAAGGAUGCGACUCAGAUCAUAUACUUUUCAUAUUACAUGGUUAGAGCCUUAUGUAUAAAAUAUUGUGCUUUCAACAUCUAUUCAUGGCAUUGUGUGCAUUCUAUCUGUGUGUACUUUUGAUUAUUAUAGGACUAAUAUUUUCAGAAAAUUAUGUAUAUAUGGUCAUGUCAGGACAAAAUAUUUGUUGCUGGCCAUGAACAACGGAUGGGUGAUGGGGACUGGUCUCAUAAAACUGAUAAAUGUGAACCUGUUCGUUGUUUGGACAUUACACCACCAUAAUUCAAUAGUAUGGUAAGAUUCACAAGGCAAUAUAAAUAGGCAUAUAUGCUUAGUUUAUGUAUUUGCUGAUUCAGGUGCCCGCCAUCAAUGAAGACAAAGAAUACCAGGUAGCAAACGAACAGAAAUGAUCCUGACCUUUGAGGGCAAAAUAUAUUCUACAAAGAAUCUUUAUCAGCAAAGGGCAAAGAAGAUUGUCAAUGUCAGCCACCAGUUAUUUUGUUCAGUAGGUGUUCCCUUCCAAUGAGGCUCCAGCCUGAGCAAGGGCAUGGUAGCAGAUAUUGAUCAGUUGGUUGAUUUUGUGCGCCCAUCCUGUAAUUCAACGUAAAGCUUCAGAAAGUGUGUUCAAUGUCCUCUCCAUUUCAAACAAACCAUCAGCUGGUUCUUUAAUACGAUUAUUACUUUUAUCAUACUGUAGAAUUCGUUUCUCGGUUAUCUAAAACUUAUAGCUAUUAAAGAAAGCCCUUGGUUUGUAUUUGGUACUUGUGCCAUUUGGUGGAACUGUAUGAGAAAAUAGUGAGAGAAUGUUGGUAGAAAUUACGAGUGAUGUAAUUACAUAGAGAGAAAGUACUCACAUGUCA